UCUGGACAAUACUGACGCUGAGAUGCGAAGCGUGGGGAGCAAACAGGAUUAGAUACCUGGUAGUCCACGCUGUAAACGAUGUCGAUUUGGAGUUUGGGGGCAUGACCCUUGGGCCCCGGAGCUAACGCGUUAAAUCGACCGCUGGGGAGUACGGCCGCAAGGUUAAAACUCAAAUGAAUUGACGGGGGCCCGCACAAGCGGUGGAGCAUGUGGUUUAAUUCGAUGCAACGCGAAGAACCUUACCUGGUCUUGACAUCCAUAGAAUCUUUCAGAGAUGAGAGAGUGCCUUCGGGAGCUAUGAGACAGGUGCUGCAUGGCUGUCGUCAGCUCGUGUUGUGAAAUGUUGGGUUAAGUCCCGCAACGAGCGCAACCCCUAUCCUUUGUUGCCAGCACGUAAUGGUGGGAACUCAAAGGAGACUGCCGUUGAUAAAGCGGAGGAAGGUGGGGACGACGUCAAGUCAUCAUGGCCCUUACGACCAGGGCUACACACGUGCUACAAUGACGUAUACAAAGGGAUGCGAAGGUGCGAACUGGAGCGGACCUCACAAAGUACGUCUAAGUCCGGAUUGGAGUCUGCAACUCGACUCCAUGAAGUCGGAAUCGCUAGUAAUCGUGAAUCAGAAUGUCACGGUGAAUACGUUCCCGGGCCUUGUACACACCGCCCGUCACACCAUGGGAGUGGGUUGCACCAGAAGUAGAUAGCUUAACCUUCGGGAGGGCGUUUACCACGGUGUGGUUCAUGACUGGGGUGAAGUCGUAACAAGGUAACCA
rnacentral:rRNA from 1 species